GGUGAAUCCAUCCUUUGUUGUGGGUCCUUUGCUUGCUCCUCAGCCUACCAGUACAUUGCAAAUCAUAUUGGGCACGGUUAAAGGUGUGAUUGGAGAGUAUGCAAACAGAAGGUUGGGAUUUGUUCACAUUGAGGAUGUUGUGGGAGCUCAUAUUUUAGUGAUGGAAGAACAAAAAGCUUCAGGUAGAUACAUAUGUUCAAACUCAGUGAGACACAUGUCACAGAUCAAUGACUUGUUAAGGACCAAGUAUCCAUCUUAUCCUCAUGAGAACAAGUGUGGCAACCAAC
rnacentral:misc_RNA from 1 species